GAUGAACGCUGGCGGCGUGCCUAAUACAUGCAAGUCGAGCGGACCAAAGAGAGCUUGCUCUCUGAGGUUAGCGGCGGACGGGUGAGUAACACGUGGGUAACCUGCCUGUAAGACGGGGAUAACUUCGGGAAACCGAAGCUAAUACCGGAUGAUAAAGAGAAACGCCUGUUUCUCUUUUGAAAGUCGGCCUUGUGCUGACGCUUACAGAUGGGCCCGCGGCGCAUUAGCUAGUUGGUGAGGUAACGGCUCACCAAGGCGACGAUGCGUAGCCGACCGGAGAGGGUGAUCGGCCACACUGGGACUGAGACACGGCCCAGACUCCUACGGGGGGCAGCAGUAGGGAAUCUUCGGCAAUGGACGAAAGUCUGACCGAGCAACGCCGCGUGAGCGAUGAAGGCCUUCGGGUCGUAAAGCUCUGUUGUCAGAGAAGAACAAGUACCGGAGUAACUGCCGGUGCCUUGACGGUACCUGACCAGAAAGCCACGGCUAACUACGUGCCAGCCGCCGCCGUAA
rnacentral:rRNA from 1 species